rnacentral:rRNA from 1 species
GCAGCCGCGGUAAUACGUAGGGAGCGAGCGUUAUCCGGAUUUAUUGGGCGUAAAGCGUGUGUAGGCGGUUUAUUAAGUUUAAGAUAAAAGCCCGGGGCUCAACUCCGGUUCGUCUUAAAAACUGGUAGACUAGAGUGCGGUAGAGGUAAAUGGAAUUUCUAGUGUAGCGGUGAAAUGCGUAGAUAUUAGAAGGAACACCAGUGGCGAAGGCGAUUUACUGGGCCGUAACUGACGCUGAGGCACGAAAGCGUGGGGAGCAAAUAGGAUUAGAUACCCC